rnacentral:rRNA from 1 species
CCUACGGGAGGCAGCAGUAGGGAAUAUUGCUCAAUGGGGGAAACCCUGAAGCAGCAACGCCGCGUGGAGGAUGAAGCUUUUCGGAUUGUAAACUCCUUUUGUUAGAGAAGAUAAUGACGGUAUCUAACGAAUAAGCACCGGCUAACUCCGGUCCAGCAGCCGCGGUACUACGUAGGGGGCAAGCGUUACUCGGAAUCACUGGGCGUAAAGAGCGCGGAGGCGGGAUAGCAAGCCAGAUGUGAAACACUAUGGCUUAACCAUAGUAAUGAAUUUGAAACUGUUAUUCUAGAGUAGGGGAGAGGUAGGUGGAAUUGUUGGUGUAGGGGUAAAGUGCGUAGAGAUCAAGAGGAAUACGCAGUGCGAAGGCGACCUGCUAGAACAUAAGUGACGCUGAUGAGCGAAAGCGUGGGGAGCAAACAGGAUUAGAUACCCGGGUAGUC